rnacentral:lncRNA from 1 species
AAGUCCACCCCUCUUUUUCUUUUACUACCAUUUCAAAUCAACGCUCCAAAUAAACAUACCAUAUCCUAGGAGACCCCCUAAGCCUCCACCCCCUCAAACCUCAUCUUCUCCGUCUCCCUCACGUCCCAAACGACCAACACAAACCAGCUAUCACCGUCAUUAUCUCACAAUAGCAAGACUCUAAGCUGGAAAACCACCCCGAAAACUAGCAACUCACGCCAUCAGACCCGCCCGGAAAACCAUACCAGUCCAACCUCAUCGGCCUCACACAAACGACCCCUAUUCACUAAACCAGACGACCACCCGCGUCUCCUUCACGAGCCUCGCCCUCUCUCUCCAAUGUUUCUCUUCCUCUUCAAUGGCGAAAUCCUGAAGAUUUGAAGAUUUGCAAGCUCCAUCAAUGGCGGCUCACGAUAGAAGCCAUGUGCAAUCCCACAGCUCUUCAUGAAACCAGCUAAACUCCACCAUUCUCAUCGUCAAACCACUGAUCGCUUAGUCUUCGGUGUUUUUGGUUAUCGUCGUCAGUGUGUGCUCGUUGUCAUCUUCAGUCUUCAGUGUGUGUUCCUUAAGACGUGCAUCUUCAAGCCGUCGUCAGUGUUGUUUGUCUUCAAUCGUCCUCAACGCUACUCGUCUUCCUUAAGAGUCCAAGGUUGUCCAUCAGAGUUCCCAUUUUUCGGCGAGGUAUGUUUGUGUGAAUUAACCUGAUGAGUUUUAAUAUUUUCAACAAGAUAUAUUAUUUGAAUUUGGGGUUUAUACCUACGGGGCCGAACUUGUUUCACGUGUUUAUUAAGAUUUAAAUUACAUGUGAUCAUUAAGAGUGUCAGUCGUAUGAAACCGAACUAUACAAUGUUGCUUGUGAAUACUUGUUAAAGAUGUUGUCUUGAAUUGUUCUGUUUGUAACUCAGAGGUUGGUUCUGUUUACUUUUUGUUGGUUUAGAUUUGUUGCACAGUUCAAAGCUCGGAUAGCUUCUUCAUAUUAGUUUUCCAUCUUCAUUGUUUUGUUAGUAUGGUUCUAUUUUAAUGGUUCUGUAAAGAUACAGAGUUUAUAGCUUGUGUUUCAUUUUGUGUUCAUUAUCCUACCAUGAUUUAGCUUCAUUUUUGAAUGUCUCUUAUUAAGUUAUUAAAUCGUUCAUCUUGGUUGUAAUGUUGUUGGAUUUAACUUGAAGUUCAAUUGAUGAUUGAGUUUAGUGAUUUGAAUCUACUUGUUCGUUCUGUUAAGAUUGUUCUGAUAUGAAUCUGACCUUGUAGACUUGUCCUAAUAUUGUUGAUUGGGAGUUAGUUUCAUGUGUUUAAUUAGUCAAUUGAUAUGUGAAUUGGUUAUAGCUGAGAUGGUUGUAGUACAGAUUGAAGGGGGAUUGGGGUAGGAUAGAAACUUCAGUAAAACGGAUAGUUUAAGUGGUAUGUCCAGUAAGCACUAAUAUUAAUACUUUGUUUAAUAAAAGUGGGGAACAAGACAUAAUGAGGAAGUUUAAAGGGAUCGAUUAAAUAAAGAAAAGACAAGGGUUAGUGGAGAACUAGACAUAAUGACGUAAAUAAAGAAAAAAGAGGUUGAAAAGCAAAUAGAGGAAAAUAAUAAUGAAAAAAGCUAAAAGUGUUCACAUAGUAGAAGAAUAUAUAAAGCUGGAAAAGUAAAAAGGAGGAGGGGAUAAUGAUAAAAGGUUUUCUUUUACAAUAGUAAAAGAAAAAAGAAGGGCUGAAAAGGAAUAUGGAGUUUGGGUUUAAAUAUAGAGAUUAAGAGAGUCAUUAGGGGGGACUGGAACGGGCAGUAAGAAUUGAGAGUAUAAAAAAUUGGAGAGAAUUCUUGAGAGAGUUUACCCAGUCAAUUAAUUCAACUAAGAUUUUUUCAUUGAAAACUAAAGAGAACUUCAGCUUUAUCUAUCAGUUAUAUUUUCGAGUUUAUCUUUUAGCUGCUGAUACUGCAUUUCGUUUGCUGUUUGGUUUGCAUAUCGGUUCUGGGUGGAUUUCCAAGUGUUACUGAAGUCUAAAGUUGGUUUUCAUUUGUUGUUGUUGGAGUUUGUUUCUGGUUUCUGGUUUGCACUGGUUGCCUGUUACUGUUCCAUUACUGGGUUGUUGCUGAUUUGUUGUUGUUUGAUGUGUUACUGCUGACUACUCCUUCUAUUUUUCACACACUCUGAAAUCAUGUAUUGAUGUAAACCUCAAGUUGGAGAUGAAAUGAAAUGCUGUCAAGUUUCCUUUUGAUUUCCCUUACAUCUUUAAAUGGAUAUUGAGUAGAAUUUUUUACUUGAAACUGAUUGAUAAAUGUAUAAAUUGGACUGUUGAAUCUAUCUUUACAAACAUAUGAAUAUCCAUUAUAGUUAAUCUUAGUUUGUAAUUACAGUGAUUAAACAUAAUGUAGUUAAUGCGUUUCCAGCUAGCCGCAAAAUAGCUUCAAAUAGUUGUAAACAAAUAAUUACAACGGCUCAAUUCAUCUAACAAUGUGGGUUUGAAUUAGUUAUAGGAUAAUUAUUUUCUUUUGAAUAUAUUAUUAGUCAAUUCCAUAUUUUAUUUAGAAUUUCAAUUUUAGUAAUACUCCUUUUAGUUAACAUUUUUCGUAAGCUAGUAACUGAUAAAUGAUGGCAUUUUCAAGCAUGUAAUUAACUACGAUUUUUCUCUUUUAUUUUAGAAGCGGACUUAAAAUAGAAAAAUGUGGUCACUUUAGGAUUAUCCUUUUAAAAUAAUUGAGCCUUGACAAAUAAAACGCGCUAGUUGCACGGCCCUCAAUAAAUGGUUAAUAAUUAAUUAGACUUCGGAUGAGCCAUUUACCAAACUUUUACGAGUGUACGUUGAUGCGACCCAAAUCCAAAUCUCAACGGAGUUGAAAUGUGUCGACGACCAUGGGUACAUUGAUUGUGACGUGGUUCGAGAUACAUUUUCACAAUGUUGAAAUUCUUUGUAAAAUAAUAAUAAAAUAAUAAUAAUAAUAAUAAUAAUAAUAAUAAUAAUAAUAAUAAUAAUAAUAAAAUCUCAACGGAGUCGAAAUGUGUCAAUAACCACGGUGCAUUGAUGUGACGUGGUUCGAGAUGUGUUUUCACAUUGCAAUUCUCGUAAAAAAUAAUAAUAAUAAAAGCAGUAAAGAGUUAAAAUUUGUGCAUAAGUUCACAUUUGUAUAAAAUCAGAUAAUUAAGCCAAAUAUAAUAGUUGAGAGAUUGUGUUAGAACCAUGAAACUUGGGAAUGCCUAACGCCUUUUUCUAGGUUAACAGAAUUUCUUAUCUGGAUUUCUGGUUUGCGGACUGUUAACAGAGUCAUUCUUUUCCUUGAUUCGGGAUUAAACCGGCGACUUAGGAUACCAUAAAUCUCCCAAGUGGCGACUCUGAAUUAAGUAAAUAAAUCUCGUUUCGAUUGUACUUUAAUUGAAAAAACUCCCUCUGUGCUCCUGUGGACGCGGCCGAAAGGAGGUGUGACGAUGAUGACCUGAGGGUUUGAAACGCCGGUAUCUCACAUUAUGACGUUGUAUUGAGGCAAGACACGUACUCUACUAUGAGUGCGGGAUCGUUUGUGGACGAGAUUAUGGCUUAGUCAGUCCGAGUGAUGUCGAUACUGUGUUAUUGACUAGUAAACAUCCUACUUGGGUUGUUAUGAGCAUUUUGGGCUGCGUGCCAACUAUUUGGAUCCCUUAGGGAUUAUUAUCACUGUUGCCAUGAAAUUGAGCAUGUUUCCAUGAUAUUAGUCCUGAGUUAAAUAUUGUCUAGAAAUGACUAGUAAUCUUCUAAGGUUUUAAUCAAUUAAACUAUAAUACCUGUUAAAUGGAUCCGAAAAUGAUAAACUUGAUUGUGCCCGUGUGGCUUGCAUGCAUAUAUAAUUGGACUGAUUUUGGACCGGGUUGCACGCCAGAGCGAAUACUACUAGGUCAUUGCGCUUGGGCUGUAGGAGUCGCUCCGGAGUCUGAACCCCUACAGUGAGUGCGGGUACCUAGUGGAUCGGUUUGUACGCCGCAGCGGUCAUAUGCAUUGCAUUGCACUCAUACAUUGAGAUCUAUCUGUCAUUGAUUUCCUGUUGUUUCAUUGUUAACUGAGCUAAGUGGUAAGUUUCAGCUUUACAUUGUGGUAUUUUGGGAUUUCUUACUUUCAGUCAUUAUACAUGUCUAUUACCGCUGAGUUGGAAGUACUCACUUUACUCCCUGCACCAUGUGUGCAGAUUCAUAUGCUUCGGAGCAUAGUUGAGCUAUUUGCUACUUCAGAGCUUCUCAGGAGUUGUCGAGGUAGCUAUCUGACAUUCGUAGGACCCGACUCCUCCUAUAUCCUUUGUUAUUUUUCCU